rnacentral:rRNA from 1 species
AGAGUUUGAUCCUGGCUCAGGACGAACGCUGGCGGCGUGCCUAAAACAUGCAAGUCGAACGCGAGGGCCUUCGGGCCUGGGAGUGGCGAACGGCGGAGUAAUACGUAAGCAACGUGCCCUAAAGUCUGGGAUAUACCGGGGAAACCCGGAGCAAUACCGGAUGUGACCGUUUCCUGGCAUCAGGAGACGAUUAAAUGGUUUUUCGCUUUAGGAGCGGCUUACGGCCUAUCAGCUAGUUGGUGAGGUAACGGCCCACCAAGGCUUCGACGGGUAACUGGUCUGAGAGGACGACCAGUCCGAGUGGGACUGAGACACGG